CCUACGGGUGGCAGCAGUGAGGAAUAUUGGUCAAUGGACGAAAGUCUGAACCAGCCAAGCAGCGUGAAGGAUGACUGCCCUAUGAGUUGUAAACUUCUUUUAUAUGGGAGUAAAAUGAUCCACGUGUAGGAGUUUGUAAGUACCAUAUGAAUAAGGAUCGGCUAACUCCGUGCCAGCAGCCGCGGUAAUACGGAGGAUCCGAGCGUUAUCCGGAUUUAUUGGGUUUAAAGGGAGCGUAGGUGGAUGGUUAAGUCAGAUGUGAAAGCUUGCGGCUCAACCGUGAAAUUGCAGUUGAAACUGGUAGUCUUGAGUGAAGUAGAGGUGGGCGGAAUUCGUGGUGUAGCGGUGAAAUGCUUAGAUAU
rnacentral:rRNA from 1 species